AUUUAUGUAGUUUAAUUAAGAAUAAUAAUUUGUGGUAUUGUUGGUGAAAUAGUUAUUUCUUUAAAUC
rnacentral:tRNA from 1 species